GUAGGUGGCAAGCGUUGUCCGGAAUUAUUGGGCGUAAAGCGCGCGCAGGCGGUUCUUUAAGUCUGAUGUGAAAGCCCACGGCUCAACCGUGGAGGGUCGUUGGAAACUGGAGAACUUGAGUACAGAAGAGGAAAGCGGAAUUCCACGUGUAGCGGUGAAAUGCGUAGAGAUGUGGAGGAACACCAGUGGCGAAGGCGGCUUUCUGGUCUGUAACUGACGCUGAGGCGCGAAAGCGUGGGGAGCAAACAGGGAUUAGAUACCCUGGUAGUCCACGCCGUAAACGAUGAGUGCUAAGUGUUAGGGGGUUUCCGCCCCCUUAGUGCUGCAGCUAACGCAUUAAGCACUCCGCCUGGGGAUACGGCCGCAAGGCUG
rnacentral:rRNA from 1 species